rnacentral:tRNA from 1 species
GCGCCCGUAGCUCAGCUGGAUAGAGCGGUGCCCUUCUAAGGCAAAGGUCGAAGGUUCGAAUCCUUCCGGGCGUACCA